rnacentral:lncRNA from 1 species
UAAUCAUAUCACUAUCAUACUGUGCCCUUUAUCUAGAACUAAAUAUCAGCCAAAGUUUACUUGAAAACGGGCCUGGGUUUUGCUCAAAUAAGCUAAUGAACCUUUGUGAACUUCCAAGACUGGGCUGAAUUUCAACUUUGGAACAAUACUUGAAGCCAGAAAAAACCUCAACUCUUCUGGACAUGAAACACUCGAUGUGGUGGCAGGUUUUGGCUUUUUCCGGCAAGAGCAGGGCAUGGCUGAUUCAAGCAAGGAUAUCCAGGAUCUCCCUCAUUGCUGAUGCUGCUAAGAUUUUACAGGUUUUAAGUGAAGUAAUUCAUCUGUACUUUAACAAAAGCUUUUAUUUCCACAUGAGGAGGUGGGCAGCCAUUCAAUGAGACAUGAUUGAGAUUGUUUCAGUCAGUUCAAUUGCCCAAUAUUUUCACAUUACCAUGAAAAAAAAAUAAUAGAGAAGGACACAUGUG